rnacentral:rRNA from 1 species
AAACCCGUCUUCUUCCUACCCCUCAAUAAUUUUAUAAACCAAUGGAAGGUUAUUUCAAUCCCAGCCCGGGGUCUGUGGAGGAAUUUUCCCUUUGCCAAAAUAAACUUCUUUGGGAACGUAACGAAUUAUUAGUUGGGGGUGAUCAUAAUUCCCGGGUCCCCACGUAAAAAUCUCCGGGCCAAACUUUCUGCCCGAAGACCCCGGGUAAAACCGUUACGUCCCAGAGGUUUUUCCGAAUUUUUUGGGGUGAAAAAGGGGGGUAGGGGGGUUUUUUUAAUUUCAAGUGGAAAAACCAGGGUCUAAUCCGGUACUGCCUUUGAAACCGGGAGGCUUGAGUGCUGGAGAAGGAAAGUGGAAUCUCCAGUGGAGCGGUGGAAAUCCUAGAUAUUUGGCAGAACCCCCGAUGACGAAAGCAGCUCACUGGCCAGGUUCUGACGUGAGGCUCGAAAGCGUGGGGAGCAAACAGG